GACAGAGGGUGCGAACGUUGUUCGGAAUUACUGGGCGUAAAGCGCGUGUAGGCGGCAACGCAAGUCGGGCGUGAAAUCCCACGGCUCAACCGUGGAAGUGCACUCGAAACUGCGUAGCUAGAGUCCUGGAGAGGAAGGUGGAAUGCUUGGUGUAGAGGUGAAAUUCGUAGAUAUCAAGCGGAACACCGGUGGCGAAGGCGGCCUUCUGGACAGUGACUGACGCUGAGACGCGAAAGCGUGGGGAGCGAACAGG
rnacentral:rRNA from 1 species